GCGGAGGGAUCAUUACCGAGUGAGGGCCUUCGGGCUCGACCUCCAACCCUUUGUGAACACAUCUUGUUGCUUCGGGGGCGACCCUGCCGUUCCGACGGCGAGCGCCCCCGGAGGCCUUCAAACACUGCAUCUUUGCGUCGGAGUUUAAGUAAAUUUAAACAAAACUUUCAACAACGGAUCUCUUGGUUCUGGCAUCGAUGAAGAACGCAGCGAAAUGCGAUAAGUAAUGUGAAUUGCAGAAUUCAGUGAAUCAUCGAAUCUUUGAACGCACAUUGCGCCCUCUGGUAUUCCGGAGGGCAUGCCUGUUCGAGCGUCAUUUCACCACUCAAGCCUGGCUUGGUAUUGGGCGCCGCGGUGUUCCGCGCGCCUCAAAGUCUCCGGCUGAGCUGUCCGUCUCCAAGCGUUGUGAUUUCAUUAAUCGCUUCGGGGUGCGGGCGGCCGCGGCCGUUAAAUCUUUCACAAGGUUGACCUCGGAUCAGGUAGGGAUACCCGCUG
rnacentral:rRNA from 2 species